UGGGGAAUAUUGGACAAUGGGCGAAAGCCUGAUCCAGCAAUGCCGCGUGUGUGAAGAAGGCCUUAGGGUUGUAAAGCACUUUCAGUAGGGAAGAAAAACGAGACGCUAAUAUCGUCUCGCCAUGACGUUACCUACAGAAGAAGCACCGGCUAACUCCGUGCCAGCAGCCGCGGUAAUACGGAGGGUGCGAGCGUUAAUCGGAAUUACUGGGCGUAAAGGGCGCGUAGGCGGCUCAGUCAGUCGGGUGUGAAAGCCCCAGGCUUAACCUGGGAAUUGCAUUCGAUACUGCUGGGCUAGAGUGUGGUAGAGGAAAGCGGAAUUCCCGGUGUAGCGGUGAAAUGCGUAGAUAUCGGGAGGAACAUCAGUGGCGAAGGCGGCUUUCUGGACCAACACUGACGCUGAGGCGCGAAAGCGUGGGGAGCAAACAGGAUUAGAUACCCCCGUAGUCC
rnacentral:rRNA from 1 species